rnacentral:rRNA from 1 species
GAUGAACGCUGGCGGCGUGCCUAAUACAUGCAAGUCGAACGGACAGGUGCGGCGCUUGCUCCUCUGACGUUAGCGGCAGACGGGUGAGUCACACGUGGAUCAUCUACCUGUAAGACUGGGAUCACUACGGGACACCGGAGCUAAUACCGGAUAAUCUAUUGCACCGCAUGGUUCAAUGGUGAGUGACGGUUUUGCUGUCACUUCUAGAUGGAUACGGGCCGGAUUAGCUGGUUGGUACGGUAACGGCUUAUCAAGGCGACUAUGCGUAACCGACGGGCGAGGGGGAUCGGCCACACGGGAACUGAGACACGGUCCAUACGCCUACGGGAGGCAGCAGUAGGGAAUCGUCCGCAAUGGGCGAAAGCCUUACGGAGCAGCGCCGCGUGAGUGAUGAAGGUCUUCGGAGCGGAAUACUCUGUUACGAGUGAAGAACAAAUGUGUAAGUAACCGAGUACUGCUUGACGGUACCGAAUCAGAAAGCCACGGCUAACUACGUG